UUCACUUGAUCCUGGUUUGGAGAAAAUGGAGUGUGUUUGCUUCAGUCAUGCUAGUCUUAUGUUACUACCAAUUAACGAGUACAUGGCGAAAGGGUGAGUAGAGGUAAAUUAACUAACCCUGAAUGCUAAGACCUGGUAUUAAGGAUUACCGUGUAAAGGAUUAUAUGAUCUGCCAGAGGGUCGUGUUUGCCUGGUAUCAAUUCAGGUAUUUGCUUUAUAUCAAGCCUAUUACUCCAAGUUGUUUUGUUAGAUUUUACAGCCACAUCGAGUAUGAAAAAGGUGUAAACUCAUUCUUCUCUAUUAGACAGCAGUCAGGAAUAUUAGACAAUGAGCGAAAGCUUGAUCCAGCCAUACCAUGAUAGUGAAGACAGUAAAAAUUCUGUAAAACUUUUAUUUUAUAGUCUAGAAAUUUGACUUACUAUAAAAAAGCUCUGACAAAAUUUCGUGCCAGCAGUCGCGGUUAAACGAUAAGAGCAAGUGUUAUUUAAUGACUAGGCGUAAAGAGUUCGUAGACUGUAAAUUUUAUUCAAGACCAAAGAACAAAAAUCAAUUUUGUAGUGUCUCUGAAAAUAUUUUUACUUGAGUUUUAAAGAAGUAAAUAGAAUUCUUAAUGUAGGGGUAAAAACUGAAGAUAUUAAGAGGAAUUCCUAUAAGGCGAAAGCCUUCUACUAUUUAAAAACUGACGUUUAAAGACGAAGGCGUGGGUAGCAAACGGGAUUAGGCACCCCGGUAGUCCACGCAGACAAAGCUGAGUACUUUCAUUUUGUAUUUUUAUGAGAUGAUGAUGGUAUCCUAAAAGUACUCCGCCUGGAGAGUAUAGUCGCAAGACCGAAACUCAAAGAACCUGACGGGGGCCUUUACAAGCGGUGGAGCAUGUGGUUUAAUUCGAUAAUACGCGAAAAACCUUACCAGUUUUCGAUGCUGUUUUUUAAAGUUAAUUUUUUAUUUUAUAAGCAUUUUAGGUGUUGCAUGGCUGCCGUCAAUCCGUGCUGUGAGGCGUCUGGUUAAUUCUACUAACGGAUGUAACCCCUAUUUUUAGUAGUUAGUAUAAGUUUUUAACUAAAACUCUAAAAAGCAUAGAUUAAUUAAUAGUUAAAGGAAGCUAGGGAUAAAGUCAAGUCGUUAUGGCCCGACUAUAAGCUGGGCUACACACGUGCUACAUAGGUUAACCCAAAAAGAUGCUAUUUCGUAAGAAAAAGCAAAUCUUUAAAUUUAAUCAAGGUACAGAUUGUGGACUGCAACUCGUCCACAUGAAGAAGGAAUCGCUAGUAAUCGUAGAUUAUCACGCUACGGUGAAUAAGUUACAAGGCCUUGUACAUACCGCCCGUCACAUUGUGGGAGUUUAUUAGAUUUAAAGAUUUCCUAAAAGACUUUAAGAGUUUGAUAAAUGACCGUGAUGAAGUCGUAACAAGGUAGCUGUAGGGGAACCUGCGGCUG
rnacentral:rRNA from 1 species